GCCACUGCUAUUGGGGUUCGGCUAAGCCAUGCGAGCGGAGGGCGUCCCGCAAGGGAUGGCCCCGCAGACGGGCUCAGUAACACGUCGUCAACCCACCUUAGGGUGGGGGACAACCUCGGGAAACUGAGGAUAAUCCCCCAUAGGCGGGGGAGGCUGGAAUGCGCCCCCGCUGAAAGCUCAGGCGCCCUAGGACGGGACGGCGGCCUAUCAGGUAGUUGGUGGUGUGACG
rnacentral:rRNA from 1 species